rnacentral:rRNA from 1 species
GGGACGAACGCUGGCGGCGCGCUUAAUACAUGCAAGUCGAGCGAGAACCGGACCUUCGGGUCCGGGGAAAGCGGCGAACGGGUGAGUAACACGUGGGUAAUCUGCCCUCGGUACUGGGAUAGCCCGGGGAAACCCGGAUUAAUACCGGAUAGCCUUUCGAGCUCUCGGGCUCGUUAGAAAAUGGUGGCUUCGGCUUCCGACUGAGGAUGAGCCCGCGGCGGAUUAGCUUGUUGGUGAGGUAAUGGCUCACCAAGGCUCCGAUCCGUAGCUGGUCUGAGAGGACGAUCAGCCACACUGGGACUGAGACACGGCCCAGACUCCUACGGGAGGUAGCAGUAGGGAAUCUUGCGCAAGUGGGACGAAAGCCUGACCGCAGCGACGCCGCGUGCGGAAGA